AUCCCAUGAUAUGGACAUCUUCUCAGUAGUUUUUUAAACCUCUCCCAAACUUCAUAUAAGGAUUCACCUUCAAAUUGUGUGAAUGAAGUUAUAUCGUUCCUCAUCUU
rfam:Theobroma cacao cultivar Matina 1-6 chromosome 3, whole genome shotgun sequence.